rnacentral:misc_RNA from 1 species
UCAAACUUGGUCAUUUAGAGGAAGUAAAAGUCGUAACAAGGUUUCCGUAGGUGAACCUGCGGAAGGAUCAUUAAAUGAAGCCGAGACUACGGAAGACAGUCCCCCUGUAGCAAAAAUUACGGGGGGUAGUACUCUCGCCCCGUAAUAAUCGGGUAACCCUGUUUCUUGAGCACUAUUUCGUUUCCUCGGCGGGCUUGCCCGCCAACGGGGACACCCCAAAACCCUUGCAAUGAGAAGUAACUGUCGGUAUUUUAAAUAUAUCACAACUUUCAACAAUGGAUCUCUUGGCUCUGGCAUCGAUGAAGAACGCAGC